rnacentral:tRNA from 1 species
CCGAUAUGAACCUUCCCGUGCUUUUAGAACAUAGAUGGCACCAGUCAGGUGACCAUCGAAACGUAUACGCCGCGAUGACUUCGGUCACGACGGUAUGGCGAGCUUUCGCGUCCACGUUUCUCUUUCUUCAAGAAGACAAAAAACCGCGUCGAUCCAGUUUAGGCUGGGCCGGUUCCCCGAAUGGGCCCGUAGCUCAGUUGGUUAGAGCACACGCUUGAUAAGCGUGGGGUCGGAAGUUCAAGUCUUCCCGGGCCCACCAUUCGCAUAUGCGAAUGAGGGUUAGGGAUGAUGGAAUGUGGCUGAUGCGGAACGUUGCCGAACCUGGUUUAUACCGGGUGAUCGAGCUGGAGGGGCUGUAGCUCAGCUGGGAGAGCACCUGCUUUGCAAGCAGGGGGUCAGCGGUUCGAUCCCGCUCAGCUCCACCAAAUCGAUUGGUGUUGAAGCUGACGGCAUUUGUCUUUUGAAGAAAUAAAAGUUUUGCAUCGGCUUAUGGCUGAUGCGUGUUCUGCAUACAUUGUGAAGAGAAGAUUGAUCUGGAGGCUUCCAGGUGUUUUGGGUUCUGCCCAAGGCGUCCGAGCCCAGUUCUGAUGAUCCCAUGGAUGGCCUAGCCGGCCGGAUAUGGGUGAAGGACUGGAGGUAGGUAGGGAGCUUGUCACUCUGGAUUGUUCGUUGUUCGUUGCCUUUGGGCAUCGUCUGAUGAACGAUCGGAUUACCGUUGCCUGACCGCGCGGUAUCGGAUCAUAUCUCGAGAAGCUGGUCUUA